AUUUUGGCCAGUUUUCUUCACAAUAUUUCGGAUUUGACAAAAGGCAAUGAUACAUUAAUCCCAGAGUUUGACUAUCAGCAAAAGAGCAUAUAUUGUAAUGGUACAUAUGCCUUACAUGCAAAACUGCGGUCUUUAUUGGAUAUUCCAGUUGCUGUGGUUGGUGGUGUUCAUUUUAGCUUGCUUUCUAAAGUUCGUUAUGACAUUGGAGAUUCUUGUUCGACAAACUACAGUUAUGAUUGCAAUUGAAGGAUUUGUAUG